rnacentral:rRNA from 1 species
UACGUAGGGUGCAAGCGUUGUCCGGAAUUAUUGGGCGUAAAGAGCUCGUAGGCGGUGUGUCGCGUCGGCCGUGAAAACCUGCAGCUUAACUGUGGGCGUGCGGUCGAUACGGGGCAUCACUGGAGUUCGGCAGGGGGAGACUGGAAUUCCUGGUGUAGCGGUGAAAUGCGCAGAUAUCAGGAGGAACACCGGUGGCGAAGGCGGGGUCUCUGGGCCGAUACUGACGCUGAGGAGCGAAAGCGUGGGGGAGCGAACAGG